rnacentral:rRNA from 1 species
UACAGAGGUCCCGAGCGUUGUUCGGAUUCACUGGGCGUAAAGGGUGCGUAGGUGGCUGGGAAAGUUUGAUGUGAAAGCUCAGGGCUUAACCCUGAAAUGGCAUUGAAUACUGCCUGGCUGGAGGUUUGGAGGGGGGACUGGAAUUCCCGGUGUAGCAGUGAAAUGCGUAGAGAUCGGGAGGAACAUCUGUGGCGAAGGCGGCCAUCUGGACCAGCACUGACACUGAGGCACGAAAGCGUGGGGAGCAAACAGG